UGCCUACACGAAGCUCCAGCUGAGGAGGGCAGUCCUAGAGCAGCCCGACUCGGCUUCCUUGGACCAUCUCCGAGUCUCUGCUGACCAUUGCUAACAUUUGUCACUUGGCACUGUGGACCAGGAGGAUAAGGGACUUAGGCAGCAUCCUGACUACACCCACUCACCAUGACCUGUUCCAGACACACCGUGAGGGAUCCGUACUUCUGUGGAGGCAGCAGCCAGCAAAUGAAAUGCAAGUCAUUGAGGCUAAAGGCAAAGACCCAGAGCCAGGUUCCAGCCAGAGAUCCCUGUCGCAUGGUGUCAGGCAGGAUGGAACCCAGAGGGUCUCAGGACCUCUGCCAGCAGAUUCUGAUUGUUGCCUCCCAAAUCAACAGAAUGCCUUUCAUACAAGCAGACUCCGGGGAGAGCGAUGCAGACUCUCAGCAAAGCUCCAUCCACCUCAACAGACCUCAGGAGGCAUCAGCAGGGCCUGGCUUCCCUCUGCUGCCCUCGGGCAUAGUUGGCUCCCUAAUGACUACACACAACCUUUAUCAAUUUUUAAACACUCUAAACAGAAAGGCGUGAUACUCACAGAAGCUUUUGUCGCGAGAGAGCUUAAGUGACACACACCCAAGGCUCAAUUAUGAGCAGGCAGGGCAGGGCAGGGGAGGCCUGGGAUAUCUGUGGCUAUUCUGGAGUUUGUGCCUUUGGAGGACAAGGCUCCAGGAAUGGGGGUCUGUCAGCCUGGUUCCUUCCUCAGGCCUUGCUGUUCCAAGAUCAAGGACUUCAUGUGUUCCUAGUGAUCCACAGGUACAAAGGGAAUCUGGAGGGAGGCUUCUCGCUUGUACAGAGGCAGGAUGGAGAGGAAAGGCGAGGACAGGUCUCCAUCGUCAGGACACGGCCUGCUGUCUUCACUCUGUCGCUAGCACACGGGUCCUGAGUGACAUUAUCUGCCCACGUCUUGUCAGGUAUGAGGCAGGAAGU
rnacentral:lncRNA from 1 species